GUCUCCUUAUGGACAUCCUCUAAAAUUAGAAUAAUACAGAGAAAAUUAGCAUAGCCCCCGCACAAGGAUGACAUGCACACAGUUAAAGAUUACUAUUACUAAUCUUU